GCUUCCAAUAGGAUGGGAGUAUCAUUGCAUGAUUUCAUGGCUGAGCCGAGGAUAUGGUCAGCCAUCAUUUGUAAUCGGGUUUCCCCAUGAACUAAUAUGACCUAUGUCCCAGAUGUACGAGCCUGGAUGGUUGCAUGUAUCUUAGAAAAUAUCUCUUUGAAUGUUGGACGUCUUGUUCUUUAGGACAUGAGGUAUUUCAAGAAUUGAG
rnacentral:lncRNA from 1 species